UACGUAGGGCGCAAGCGUUGUCCGGAUUUAUUGGGCGUAAAGAGCUCGUAGGCGGUUCGGUAAGUCGGGUGUGAAAACUUUGGGCUUAACCCAAAGCCUGCAUCCGAUACUGCUGUGACUUGAGUCCGGUAGGGGAGUGGGGAAUUCCUGGUGUAGCGGUGGAAUGCGCAGAUAUCAGGAGGAACACCGGUGGCGAAGGCGCCACUCUGGGCCGGUACUGACGCUGAGGAGCGAAAGCGUGGGGAGCGAACAGG
rnacentral:rRNA from 1 species